UCAAGCUACUAAGAGCAUAGGGUGAAUGCCUUGGCACCAGAAGGCGAAGAAGGACGUGACAAGCUGCGAAAAGCUACGGAGAGGCGCAAAUAGCCAUUGACCCGUAGAUAUCCGAAUGGGGAAACCCGGCCGAGUUAAGCACUCGGUCAUCGUAACAUGAAUCCAUAGUGUUACGAGGGCAGACGUUGGGAACUGAAACAUCUAAGUACCAACAGGAAAAGAAAUCAAAAGAGAUUCCGUAAGUAGUGGCGAGCGAAAGCGGAAGAGCCCAAACCAAAAGAUAGCAAUAUCUUUUGGGGUUGAGGACUAGCAUAAUGAUCCUUGAGACAUAGCAGAAUGAGCAGCUGGAAAGCUGAGACCAUAGAGGGUAAAAGUCCCGUAAGCGAAAUGUUGAGAGGCAGGCUAGAAUCCAGAGUACCACGAGGCACGUGAAACCUCGUGGGAAGCAGGGUGGACCACCAUCCAAGGCUAAAUACUAACUGGUGACCGAUAGUGAAGCAGUACCGUGAGGGAAAGGUGAAAAGAACCCCGGGAGGGGAGUGAAAGAGAACCUGAAACCCUAUGUUUACAAGCAGUUGAAGAGCGUUAAAGCUCGACAGCGUACUUUUUGUAGAACGGUCCGGCGAGUUAUUGUAUGCAGCAAGGUUAAGUACUAGAAGGUACGGAGCCGAAGGGAAACCGAGUGUUAAAAGCGCGAGAAGUUGCAUGCUAUAGACCCGAAACCGGGUGACCUACCCAUGGACAGGUUGAAGCGGGAGUAAAAUCUCGUGGAGGACCGAACCACAUGACCGUUGAAAAGGUCUGGGAUGAGCUGUGGGUGGCGGAGAAAUUCCAAUCGAACUCGGAGAUAGCUGGUUCUCCCCGAAAUAGCUUUAGGGCUAGCCUCAAGGGAAAAUCAAACGGAGGUAGAGCACUGAAUGGGCUAGGGGCCUUACCGGGUUACCGAACCCUAUCAAACUCCGAAUGCCGUAAUGAUGUUACUUGGGAGUCAGACUAUGAGAGAUAAGUCCCAUGGUCAAAAGGGAAACAGCCCAGACCAUCAGCUAAGGUCCCAAAAUCACAGUUAAGUGGAAAAGGAUGUGGGUUUGCUAAGACAACUAGGAUGUUGGCUUAGAAGCAGCCACUCAUUCAAAGAGUGCGUAAUAGCUCACUAGUCGAGUGAGCCUGCGCCGAAAAUUACCGGGGCUAAACUGUGUACCGAAGCUAUGGAUCAGCGUACAUCCAAUAGUAUUGCUAAAUGAAAUAAGAAGCGAAGAGGUAAUUUCACGAAAUGUAACAAAUGAAAAAUAAAUCAAAACAUUUCGUCAAAUUACAUACAGCUAAACUUGUACCGUUAGCAGUAGUAUUGGAUGUACGAGGGUGGUAGGGGAGCUUACUGUAGUAGGUUGAAGCAAGAUCGAAAGGACUUGUGGACGAGACAGUAGUGAGAAUGCCGGAAUAAGUAGCGAGAGUAAAGUGAGAAUCUUUACCGUCGAAAGCCUAAGGUUUCCUGGGGAAGGUUCGUCCGCCCAGGGUAAGUCUGGACCUAAGCUGAGGCCGAAAGGCGUAGGUGAUGGACAACAGGUUGAAAUUCCUGUACUACCGUUAAUCGUUAUGAGAGAGGUGGUGACGCAGGAGGAUAAGUCAAGCGAUCAGCUGGAAAAGAUCGUGCAAGCGGGGUAGAUAGUCCGGUAGGCAAAUCCGCCGGAUGUUUCGAAGACGUGAUGCGGAGGGAAAACAAGUACCGAAGUGACAGAUUCCACACUGACGAGAAAAACCACUAUCCAGAUUAAAGGUACCAGUACCGCAAACCGACACAGGUAGGUGAGGAGAGAAUCCUAAGACGAGCGGGAGAAGCGUUGUUAAGGAACUCGGCAAAUUGACCCCGUAAGUUAGCGAAAAGGGGUGCCUCAAGAGAUUGAGGCCGCAGAGAAUAGGCCCAAGCAACUGUUUAUCAAAAACACAGGUCUCUGCUAAAUCGAAAGAUGAAGUAUAGGGGCUGACGCCUGCCCGGUGCUGGAAGGUUACGGGAAUUGCUUAGGGGAAACCCGAAGGCAUGAACUUAAGCCCCAGUAAACGGCGGCCGUAACUAUAACGGUCCUAAGGUAGCGAAAUUCCUUGUCAGGUAAGUUCUGACCCGCACGAAUGGCGUAAUGACUUGGGCACUGUCUCAACAACGUACCCGGCGAAAUUGUAGUACUUGUGAAGAUGCAAGUUACCCGCGACUAGACGGAAAGACCCCAUGGAGCUUCACUGUAGCUUGAUAUUGGGUUUCGGUAUUUUUUGUACAGGAUAGGUGGGAGACUGAGAAGUGGUGGCGCCAGCCAUCAUGGAGUCGACGUUGGGAUACCACUCUAAAAGUACUGGAACUCUAACCUGAGACCAUAAGCUGGUCUAGGGACACUGUCAGGUGGGCAGUUUGACUGGGGCGGUCGCCUCCCAAAGAGUAACGGAGGCGUCCAAAGGUUACCUCAGUGCGGUUGGAAAUCGCACAGCGAGUGCAAAGGCAUAAGGUAGCCUGACUGCGAGAGAGACACCUCGAGCAGGUACGAAAGUAGGGCUUAGUGAUCCGGUGGUAUGAAAGUGGAAUUGCCAUCGCUCAACGGAUAAAAGCUACCCUGGGGAUAACAGGCUUAUCUCCCCCAAGAGUCCACAUCGACGGGGAGGUUUGGCACCUCGAUGUCGGCUCAUCGCAUCCUGGAGCUGUAGCAGGUUCCAAGGGUUUGGCUGUUCGCCAAUUAAAGCGGUACGCGAGCUGGGUUCAGAACGUCGUGAGACAGUUCGGUCCCUAUCUGUCGCGGGCGCAGGAUAUUUGAGAGGAUCUGUCCUUAGUACGAGAGGACCGGGAUGGACGAACCUCUAGUGCACCAGUUGUCAUACCAAUGGCACAGCUGGGUAGCCAAGUUCGGCAGGGAUAAACGCUGAAGGCAUCUAAGCGUGAAACCCACCUCAAGAUGAGAUAUCCCACUAGCAAUAGGUAAGACCCCAUGUAGACUACAUGGUUGAUAGGUCAGGAGUGUAAGCAUAGUAAUGUGUUAAGCUGACUGAUACUAAUAGGUCGAGGGUUUGACCCA
rnacentral:rRNA from 1 species